GAUGAACGCUAGCUACAGGCUUAACACAUGCAAGUCGAGGGGAAACGAUAGAGAAAGCUUGCUUUUUCUAGGCGUCGACCGGCGCACGGGUGAGUAACGCGUAUCCAACCUGCCCAUCACUUGGGGAUAACCUUGCGAAAGUAAGACUAAUACCCAAUGAUAUCUCUAGAAGACAUCUGAAGGAGAUUAAAGAUUUAUCGGUGAUGGAUGGGGAUGCGUCUGAUUAGCUUGUUGGCGGGGUAACGGCCCACCAAGGCGACGAUCAGUAGGGGUUCUGAGAGGAAGGUCCCCCACAUUGGAACUGAGACACGGUCCAAACUCCUACGGGAGGCAGCAGUGAGGAAUAUUGGUCAAUGGGCGAGAGCCUGAACCAGCCAAGUAGCGUGCAGGAUGACGGCCCUAUGGGUUGUAAACUGCUUUUAUAAGGGAAUAAAGUGAGUCUCGUGAGACUUUUUGCAUGUACCUUAUGAAUAAGGACCGGCUAAUUCCGUGCCAGCCGCCGCGGUAA
rnacentral:rRNA from 1 species